AACGGUUUGCAUAUAUACAUAUAUAUCUGCCACUUUUUACUACCUUUCUCUCUUAUAUAUCUUUUUUUUUCACACCUUCAUCUUUCUCAAUCUCUAUUCUCUCAUGUACUUUAUUAAUUUCUUUUUCUGUUUAUUAUAUAUAUAUAUAUGUGUGUGUGCGUGUUAAUUAGUAGGUCCCUUGUGAUUUGAUUGAUCAUAUAUCUGAGUGCUUAAUUACAUGCAUAACCAUUGCAAACAGUAACAGUAAUUGUUGUCCACUUAUAAUUACCACUGUUUGAUAUACUUUUAUAUAUAGUUAGCUAUAUAGCUAAUUCACUCAUUAUAUAUGGACCCCUCCGCCAGUCAAUGGAACAAAUUGCUGAGGGGGCAUAUGCUUAAAUUUAUCAAGUUAUUAGGUUUUGGAUUUUUGGUUUUUCGUUAUUUAUAUAUAUAUAUAUAUAUAUCUUACAUAUAUUAUGAUUAUAUAUAUAGUUAGGUUUAAGAUUUUUGGUUUUUUGUUAUCUGUAUAAAUAUCUAUACAUAUAACAAAUUUAUGAUCCUCUUCAAUGAGCUUGCUAGCUACUAUUUUUUUUUAUUUGUACGUAUAUAUAUUAUAAAUAUGAAUGAUUAUUAUUGUAAUUUUUAUUUUGGUAAUAAGAUAAUAUAUAAAAUGGAGAGAAUGAUAUGAUUUGAUUAGCUAAGAUAAUUUGACCCACCAUUAUAUAUUAGCUAGCGAUUCCAACCACCAAAUAAAGAAGGGAAAUUAAUAAAAAGCCACCACAGAGCAGCAGAAGAGAGGACACAGCCUUUUGAUAUUCACCUUCUCUACUCCUACUCCCACCAAGCUAGACACACCUUUUUCCUACAUUGAAAUUGAAUUGCCUAAAAAAUCUAACUGAUUAUUCUCUUUUGGUCCAUGUUUGGGUCCAUAUUUGCUCCCUUCUUUAAUUAUUCAAGUAGUUUCUUUUUCCUUUUUUGUUAGGUAAGUGGCACCAACCUAUAGCUACCUGUAUUAUAGCUCAUCAAAACCCAAAAUCUUCUCUUUAAAACCCCUAUCAUCAUCACCAUGCCCAUCCUCACCUCCCUUUAAAACAACCACCAUUUGCAUUUGAUCCAUCUCAUCAUCUUCAUGACCAUCUAUCUCUACCUCUUUUAUAUAUAUAUUUGCUUUCUUUAUAUGUAGUAGUACAAAUAUAUGUGUGUGUUUGGGGAAUUAAUUAAGGGGAAGCAAAUAUAAAGAAAGCGAUGUUGGUGAGGUUCAAUCCGAAGACGGAUUUACAACGCAUAGUCCUAAUAAUAAUCUCGUAAAAUACGAUCUCAGAUUGAGCCGCGCCAAUAUCACUUUCGUAGUUUUCAUUAUUAUUAUUAAUGAUCAUGAGUUUUCAUUUCUCAUGUAUUAUCAUACAUAUAUCUAUAUAUAAAUAUAUUAAUGCUUCCCCUUUAAACUAAUUGCACACCGCAUAUGUACUUUCACUUUGACUUGAUUUAAUUUAAUGAUCUUCUGAUAUCUAUUCCAUUAAUCUCUCUCCCUAUAUGUAUAUAUAUAUAUAAAUAGUACAUGUAAUAUGCUCCGUACUCAUUAUAUGCUAAAUAUUUGCAUGGUAAUAUAUAUAUAUAUAUAUAUAUAUAUAUUUAACCCUUCUUUUAUUGUGUUCAUGUCAAGUACUGUAUCAUUAAUUAAGAUAUGUUUCUGAAUAUAUGUGGCUGUCUUGCUGGUUCAUCAAGGAUUAAUUAUUCGUUUCAACAUGUCUACAACUGCAAACUAAUUAGAUCAACAGUCACUCUGAUCAGCAGAUCGCUCGAUGAACGACGUCCGUCUGGUCAUGUGAUUUAAUUGCUCUAAUCGAGAAGAUAUAGGAUAUUUUUGCUGGUUCGUGGUUCUCAAAGACUAGGAAUAGGGUUGGGAUGUGGCUCUCGAAUUAGGAAUGGUGGGGCUAUUUCUGACCGUGUGAGCUAACAAUUUGGUUUGGUAGGAGGUGGUGCGACGUAGGUCAAAUUUAGUUGAUAGGGACUAAUUGGAUGGCGGCGUGAGAAGAUCUGGGAUUGGUGCGGUGGUUCAUCUCUUUUGAUGGUGGUGAUUCGCUUUGCUAGUGGUAUUAGAAAGGAUGACAUGUGGUGGUUUGGGGGCGGUUUCUCACCUAUUGUGCCUUAUUAUUUUAUUUUGUUUAAUUAUUUUAGUUUGUUUUUAUAUUUUGAAAAUUAGACUCAAUUAAUGUUAUGGGUUUAGGUGGUCUAUCCUUUGUUUGGUUCAUGUCAUCACUGUUUCUAGUGGCUAUGAUAAAGAUUGUUUUUUAAAAAAUAUAUUAUUGGAACUUA